rnacentral:rRNA from 1 species
AUUGAACGCUGGCGGCAGGCCUAACACAUGCAAGUCGAACGAGUGGCGGACGGGUGAGUAAUGUCUGGGAAACUGCCCGAUGGAGGGGGAUAACUACUGGAAAAGGUAGCUAAUACCGCAUAACAUAGGAUGUGCCCCGAUGGGAUUAGCUAGUAGGUGGGGUAAAGGCUCACCUAGGCGACGAUCCCUAGCUGGUCUGAGCGGAUGACCAUCCACACUGGAACUGAGACACGGUCCAGACUCCUACGGGAGGCAGCAGUGGGGAAUAUUGCACAAGGGGCGCAAGCCUGAUGCAGCCAUGCCGCGUGUAUGAAGAAGGCCUUCGGGUUGUAAAGUACUUUCAGCGGGGAGGCGUUACCCGCAGAAGAAGCACCGGCUAACUCCGUGCCAGCAGCCGCGGUAAUUC